rnacentral:tRNA from 1 species
GGCCCCAUAGUGAAGCGGUUAACACGCCAGUCUUUCAAGCUGGCAGCGCGGGUUCGAAUCCCGCUGGGGUCACCA